CCUACGGGUGGCAGCAGUGAGGAAUAUUGGUCAAUGGACGAGAGUCUGAACCAGCCAAGUAGCGUGAAGGAUGACUGCCCUAUGGGUUGUAAACUUCUUUUAUAUGGGAAUAAAAUGUUCCACGUGUGGGAUUUUGUAUGUACCAUAUGAAUAAGGAUCGGCUAACUCCGUGCCAGCAGCCGCGGUAAUACGGAGGAUCCGAGCGUUAUCCGGAGUUAUUGGGUUUAAAGGGAGCGUAGGUGGAUUGUUAAGUCAGUUGUGAAAGUUGGCGGCUCAACCGUAAAAUUGCAGUUGAAACUGGCAGUCUUGAGUACAGUAGAGGUGGGCGGAAUUCGUGGUGUAGCGGUGAAAUGCUUAGAUAUCACGAAGAACUCCGAUUGCGAAGGCAGUUCACUGGACUGCAACUGACACUGAGGCUCGAAAGUGUGGGUAUCAAACAGGAUUAGAUACCCUAGUAGUC
rnacentral:rRNA from 1 species